UCAGGCUCCUUGGCUUUAAAAGCCUUUGAGCCCGUGGGCGCUGGGUGGCCGGCAGUUUCCCACUCGGCCAGGUUCGACUCAGCUCCCCCGUGAUAACGGCCGGCUCUGGGACCUCAAAGGAAUAAUCUUACAGAGGAGUAGGGGGCUCUAAGUUGGCCUUAGUUCCCGACCAGCUACUUCUGGAGGGCCCUGCAUCUCGAAGGUUCGUAUGCAGGUUCUCGGGUGCGUCUGCUCCUGCAGUCAGCAUCUUGGCUUUUCUGGGACCACAGUGGAUACCCCGAGUCCUGGAGGACACCAGCUCCUAACAGAAGUAAGGUGCAGUGUGAAAUUCCCAAGGAGUCCCUUAAGGAAGUCACAGGGUGGCAAAGGAGAAGUCGCGCGUUCCCAGCAGCCCACGAAAGGCGCUCCCAGACACUGCUGAAUGAGAAGACUCACUAGCAAGCUUUACAACACCUUGGCUACUCCUUCAAGCUUUGUGUCUUUCUGGAAUUGUACCCUGGAUGCUCCAGCUACUUGGAACUACCAUGGUUCCCAACAAACCAGACUGGUACUCACUGUGCUGUGUUUUAAGAAAUAUUUGCCACUUUAUCUAGCAGCCAUCCUGAACCAGAAGGUGGAGGACAGAAUGAAAAUAAACUCAGAUCCCUGAGGACUGUAGGCUGCCAUGUACAGAAGAGAGAAGUAUUAGAAGCCCAGCUGCCCGUGUUCUUGAAGCCAGUAAGGGAGAGUGUUGGGCUGGAGGGACUACCGUCAAGGAUAAAGAAUUGCAUCUCUUCCUCCUGGGUUCACUCUAGCACCUCCUCGGGUCUAGGUCUGCUGGUCCACCUUCCAGAGAAUAAGCUUCAGUCUUCUGAUGGAUCAAGGAAGAGGUGGCUGAUUGGAGGUUCAACUGCUCUGUGUGUGUGUUCCAAUAAAAAUUUAUUUACA